rnacentral:tRNA from 1 species
GCAUGGCAUAGUGGUUUGAGUGUUGGACUACAACUCUGGAGACCAGGGUUCGAUUCCCAGCUCAACCA